rnacentral:lncRNA from 1 species
UUAAGGGCUAAAGUUCAGGACAAAUCUUAUGGAGUCAUAGCUUUCUCCUGGGGUAUGCUGCCUUCCUCCUGUAUUCCCCAGAUGAAUGGCAGAGUUUCACUAGGAAAGUUACAGGUAACUAAAUAGUAAAGAUAAACCAAUCCCUACUGUUACCACUACUCUGUAAAAAUACUCACUAUUAUAUUACUUAACAUGAAUUUAGUGAUGAAUUUGGAUAUCAUAAAAGAAUAUCUUGGCAGUUUAAAAAGUCUAAAAAUGAAGCCUCAUAAUUAGGAUAUAAACUAACAAAUGAAAUUUCCACAACAAAACGCCUAAUAUUUAUUCACUCAAACUUUAUGUGAAUAUUUAUUCAUAAUUACUAUAUUGAAAAUGUAUCAAGUCAUUAUUGUGAACAAAAUACUCUGCUUCCUACUUGAUAUAACUUUGUUUUUCUCACUUCAGUGCCAAACCAAUUUGUGUUACACCCAUUUUAUCACGCACUUGUACAAUUACAUCAGCACAGCUAGGAUGUGAACCCAGCUCUCUGGAUUCUAUACACUUCACUGCACCACACCGGUCACUGUGAUUAAUGUAGCUAUGCUGCCUUGCUAGCCACAGAUGAGGCAAAGGUUUCAAUAUUCCUUAAUUACAAAUGGAUACCU